UUUGACCUCAAAUCAGGUAGGACUACCCGCUGAACUUAAGCAUAUCAAUAAGCGGAGGAAAAGAAACUAACAAGGAUUCCCCUAGUAACUGCGAGUGAAGCGGGAAAAGCUCAAAUUUAAAAUCUGGUGGUCUUUGGCCAUCCGA
rnacentral:rRNA from 1 species